rnacentral:lncRNA from 1 species
GGUGUGAGGCCAGAGAAAACAGGAGAAAGCCAUUCCUCCUCCUCCUCCUAUCUGAGUGCCAACCCUCGAUGCCCACCCCUAAGCUGCUCUUCCUCAGCGUAGCUUGACCUGUCACCUUUAAUAAAGGUCUAGGCUGCAGCAGCAGAGACACAGGCCUUCUGUCUGAGAAUUAGUUAUUUAUAGUCAAUAGAGCCAGCCACUCACACCCUUAUGGGUUUGUCAGCUAGGGACUAGGGGGACAUGAUUGUUCUCCCAAAACAAGUCUCUGAUGUAGAAAAUACCAUAAUGAUGUAGAUUCAUGGUGGGAAGAAAAUUUGGAGUUGUCUCCAGUAGGGACUUUCACAUUAUCCUUAAUACGUCUCCAUUGUCAUUCUGACCUUAUGGGGUGUGGUUGGGGUGUGAGUGGGCGUUUUCUUAAUGAUAUGCUGCUAGGAUUUCAUGGGCAGCAAUAGCCUAGAAGUCUAUGAUCUAGACUCCAGAUUCCAGAGGGACCUUAAGGUUCCCUUCUGUGGUGUCAGUCUUCUACUAGCUAAUAUGGGAAACUGGAUAUGGAGAAGGGAGCUCAGAGCAGGCACCUGAGACUCAGCUCCACACCCAUGGGGAGCCCCCCACCGUGGCUUCCUGCCACUUCUGAAACUUGAGCCCACUUGUUCCUUUUGGGGUAGGCCUUUCCUCCCUGAAAAGCCCCUAUUGGCUCCCUUGCCCCUACCCUGCAGGCUUUGCCACUAGCCAUAGCAGUGGCAUCAUGGAGAUCUCUGCCUCAGAGCUGACCUGUUGUCUGACCAGAGAGAGCUAUGUCCACCUAGGGUGUCGAGUGGUGUUUGGGAACUUGAAGGUCACAGUCAGAAAGGUCUCAGGACUCAACAGUGUACAGGUGUAUGUGGCUGUCACAACGUAGAGUGGAAACCAACAGAGACUGUUUAGUGUUGGUCUCUUUGGCAGAAUAGGGCUUAGAAGGUUCAGUGUUUAAAGCUUGGUAUCUGGGAAGGCAGAGGUUGCUGGAAGCCAUCACUUUUUCCUUUGCCUGGCCCCAGCUGGUAGCAUCUCUGCCCAGAGCUCUGUCCUUAGGGUGCUCUCACAUGGCCAUUCUCUGUUUUUCUCCUCAGCAGUAACCAUGGUAUUCUGAGACAUUUGCCUGAGGAUUUUAGUCACUUAAUUGCUUGAAUUAUCUCCUGUCAUGUCUAGCAGCCAUCCAUGCCAACGUCUGUGGCCAUGGCUAGCAGAGAGAUGGGAAGACUGGACAGUCUCUCUGGUCUCCUUUCCCUAUGCAAGUUCCGUUGUCACCAGAAUCCCAGGCCAGGAACCCCACAUCCCACCUUUACAUUUCUCUGUCCCAGUACCUCAGGAGCAUACUGUUCAUGAGCAGGUGACUCCCCCUGGGCAUGUACAAGCAAGCUGAGAGGAAAAGGAGUCACGUGGUUCAUGCCACAUAGUGGACAGCCCUGUCCAUUGGUCAGUUGGUCAAGGGACAAGGGAGGUGGAGGCAUGAGACCCUUGUCCGCUCCUAGACUGAAGGGUUUCUUUGAGAUUCCUUCAUGACUUCCUUGAAGUCAAACUAAUGUCUAAUACGGAGGUGUUUGCUGCUUUUCAUUGGUGUUUUUUCUAAUGCAAUAAACUCAUGUCUGCCUGC